UUUGAUCCUGGCUCAGGAUGAACGCUAGCGGCAGGCUUAACACAUGCAAGUCGAGGGGUAACAGGGAUUGCUUGCAAUCCGCUGACGACCGGCGCACGGGUGCGUAACGCGUAUGCAACCUACCUUCUACAGGGGAAUAGUCAAUAGAAAUGUUGAAUAAUACCCCAUACGAUCUUUGAAUAGCAUUAUUUAGAGAAGAAAGUUCCGGCGGUAGAAGAUGGGCAUGCGUCCUAUUAGUUAGUUGGAGAGGUAACGGCUCCCCAAGACAUCGAUAGGUAGGGGUCCUGAGAGGGAGACCCCCCACACUGGUACUGAGACACGGACCAGACUCCUACGGGAGGCAGCAGUGAGGAAUAUUGGACAAUGGAGGCAACUCUGAUCCAGCCAUGCCGCGUGCAGGAAGACUGCCCUAUGGGUUGUAAACUGCUUUUAUACAGGAAGAAAUGUACCUACGUGUAGGUAUUUGACGGUACUGUACGAAUAAGGAUCGGCUAACUCCGUGCCAGCAGCCGCGGUA
rnacentral:rRNA from 1 species